UGAGGAACAUGACCUUCGGCGGGGGAUAGCCGGCCCAACGGCCGGGUAAUACCGCGUACGACCACAUGGGGACAUCCCUGAGUGGUGAAAGCAGCAAUGCGCCGAUGGAGUGCCUCGCGGCCUAUCAGCUAGUUGGUGAGGUAACGGCUCACCAAGGCGACGACGGGUAGCUGGUCUGAGAGGAUGGCCAGCCACAUUGGGACUGAGACGACCGGCCCAGACCUCGUACGGGGACGG
rnacentral:rRNA from 1 species